UGUUGCUUGCUUUGGCAACAUAUCUGUUAAAUAGAAACAAUACAGAGAAGGUUGGCAUGGCCCCUGCACAAGGAUGGCACGCAAAUCGGUGAAAUGGUCCAUAUUUUU